AUCCUUGCCCCAUGUUCGUCGGCGUUGCCGACACAUGCCCAGGCAGCCAAGACCUUCGAGGCUGCAAGCGCGGGAAACCGUGCUGGUCGUUUCUUCCUACGGACGUACCGCGUCCAUCCACCCACAAGGGACCUCUCCCUUGUGGGC
rnacentral:ncRNA from 1 species